UCACCUGGGGUCUCAUUUAUAAAGCGUGUGUACGCACAAAACGGGGCUGGAAAUGUACGUACGCCAGUUUCCACGCAAAGGUUGUGAUCUAUAAAAAACAAACUUGACGGGAGAAUGUGCGCACCUUUAAGCAAACUUUGAGCCGUGCGUACGCACAUUCUGGAGACAAAGGGAAUUGGCGACACAGAUGAAAAACUUUCUCUGAAAUGUAUUUUACACUAUUUGAUUUA